GAGAUGAGUUCUCCCUGAGACUUAGAGUCUCCUGAAGGAACGUUGAAGACGACGACGUUGAUAGGCCGGGUGUGUAAGCGCAGCGAUGCGUUGAGCUAACCGGUACUAAUGAACCGUGAGGCUUAACCUUACAACGCCGAAG
rnacentral:rRNA from 8 species